AUGGCGGCGNNNNNNNNNNNNNNNNNNNNNGACGACCUGUCGGAGCUGGGCCGCCACCUGCUCGACAUCGCCUGCUUCCUCCACCCGCUGCUCAACCCGGCGCACACCGACUCGCCGCCCUCCACCCCGACCCAUACCCACGCGCACCGCCGCCGCUCCCCGUCCCCGCGCCCCGCGACGCCGCCCUCCCCGCCCGCCUCCAUCCUCGCCGGCAUCCUCGCCGACCUCGCCGAGAUCGGCGGCUCCUUCCGCGUCGGCUUCUCCGGCCGGGCCGCCCCCGACCGCCAGCCGCCGCCGGCCCGGGCCACGCUCCCCAGCCCGGUCGACUCCCCGCCCCACGCCGCCUCCGCUGCAGGCGUCGCCGAUGGCAUCCUCGGGGCGGCCCGCGCCCUCGCCGCCAGGCCCGAGGCCUGGAUUGACUUCCCCAUGCUCGCGAUAGACGAGAAUGCUACAAUCUCUGAUGUAGAGAGAGAUCAUAUGGAAGUCAUUGAAAAGCUUGUCCCUGAUUUAGCAUCUCUGCGGGCUACGCUCUGCCCUUCUUACAUGGAUGAAGAUGCAUUCUGGAAGAUAUACUUCAAAUUACUUGAGUCAAGCCUGAGUGAACAUACUUCAGAGGAAGAUACCCAGAGUGUGCAAGUUUCUGUGCAUCGUGUAAAUGAGAUAGAGUCUCCACCUCAUGUCUGUGAGAUAGAAAGCGAGAAAGGCACUCAAGAGGGCUACCAAUCUUCAGGGAGCCAUGCUUUAACCAAAACACGAUCCGAGCAAAGCAUGGACCAGUGGGUGUUUGCGAAGUCAAAGUCGGAGCAGAGCAUGGAUCAGUGGUCCGAAAUACCUUCAGACGUAGAAUCCUUUAGAGAAGGUCAUAAAAGGUACUUCAGCAGCGAAGCUGAGGAGAUGAGCGACGUCGACAACUCCAAUGUGCUCGUCAUGGACAAAUACAUGGACUCGCUCCUGCCGGACCGGAGAAGCCUCCCGUACGCCAGCUCCUCCGUGAGAAGCGACUCGGUAAGAAGGAAGCCCGCCGCCUCCUCCCCCGACUACAGCCGCCGGCCUCCGCAGCCCACCCCGCCCGCAUCGCUGUCGAAGAAGGAAUCAUGGGAUCUCAUUCAGGAUUCGGAGUUUGAGAUACUGGACAGCUAG
rnacentral:rRNA from 1 species